GGGGUUAAUUUAAUAAAUAAUAAAUAUGAAAAAAAAUUUUAAUAUAAUAUAUUUAAUGGGGGUUAAAGUAUUUUUAUAGAAAAAAUUUUAAAAUUUAUAGUGAAAUAGUAUUGUGAAAGAAAUAUUGAAAAUAUUGAAAUAAAAAUUUAUUUAAAAGUAAAUUUUAUUUAUUGUAUCUUGUGUAUCAGAGUUUUUUUAAAAAAAAAAUUGGGUAAAUUUAUUUCGAAAUUUAAAGAGUUAAUUAAUUAAAAAAGUUAAUAUUGCAUAAUUAUUUUGAAUAGUUAAUUGGAAAUGAAAAGUUAAUCGUUUUGAAUGAUAUCUAAUUUUUCUAGAAAAAAGUUUAAUUUUAAAUAAAUUUUAAAAAUAAUUAAUUAAUUAAUUAUUUUUAAAAUUUAAUUUUAUAUUUUAGGGGAUAAGCUUUAAAUUAGAAUUUUAUAAUAAAAGUAAAAAAAAAUUGAAAUUUUUAAAAUUUAUAUUUUUUAUAAAUUAUAGUUUAUUAUCAAUAAUUUCAUUUAAUUAAAAUUUUAUUUUAAUUUAAAUUUUUAUAGAAAAAUAUUUUUUAAUUUAAUAAAAAUAGGUAUAAUGAUAAAAUUAGUAUAUAAUUUAUAAAUAAAAUAAAAAUUAUUUAAAUUAAUAAAAAGGAAUUCGGCAAAAAU
rnacentral:rRNA from 1 species